GGAGGACCGCUCGCUGGCGGCUGAUCCGGCGUCUCCGUGACAGGCAACCCAGCUCCUCCGCCACCGCCCCACCGCCACCGCCACCGCCACCGUCGCCUUUUCUUCUUAGUCCCAGGCCGUGCGUUCCACUGCUCUGGGGCGGGCGCCGCGCCCAGUCCCUGCUUCGGCCGCGCGCCCCACCGCUUCCCUCCCCGGCAGGGGAAGCCGCGCAGCCGCUCCCGCCGCCACCUCCUCCCCCGCCGCCCUUCCUCGCUGCAGGAAUUGCGCGGACCAACAGCCGCUCGCGUCGCCCGCAUCCGCGCAGCCCGCUGCCGCUCGGCCCUCGGCACCGCUCUGGGUCCGGCCGCUGCCUGCCCCGCGCUCCCAGGCCCCACCACGCGUCGCCGCGCCCAGCUCCAGCCUCCCCUCCCCCGGGUCUCGCCAGCCCCUUCCUGCAGCCGCCGCCGCCUCCGAAGGAGCGGGUCCGCUGCAGGUCACCAUGCCCAGCAAAACCAAGUACAACCUUGUGGACGAUGGGCACGAUCUGCGGAUCCCCUUGCACAACGAGGACGCCUUCCAGCACGGCAUCUGCUUUGAGGCCAAGUACGUAGGAAGCCUGGACGUGCCAAGGCCCAACAGCAGGGUGGAGAUCGUGGCUGCCAUGCGCCGGAUCCGGGUGAGUGGCCAGAGGUGGGCUGUGUGGAGCGGGGAGUCAAGUACCUUAGCUGCUGGCCCUUCUAGGUAGGGCUGGAGGGACCAAAAUGGAUGGCUGCACCCCCUUGCAAACCCAAACUCCUCCUCUCUGUACCCUCCAGGAAGCUGUUCUGAAUUGAAUGUUUGAUCUUGAUGCAAGGCCAAUGUUAAAAUGGAUGUGAUGGCUGGAGUGGUACCAUCUUCUCUCUCUUGUGACCUGUAGCUCCUCAAACUGAGAUACAUGUUACCUUGAUGAUGUGUAGUGACUGGCCAGGGACUGAUGGCUCUUUUUUAUUCAAAGAUUUUAGGGAAAAGGUUUAGUAGUUAGCCGGUAAUUGACUCAAAACAUUCUUUAAAAAGGCAAUUUAUUGUGGUAUAGAAUAUAAGAUUUACUUGGAUUUUUAAGAGUAAAUAUGAGAUUUUAACAAAAUUUUAUUGGUUGGAUGCUUUAGGCUCCGGGAAUGUCAGUGCAUUUUCUUCUGCCAUUUUGUCUACUUGCGGAAAGUUCAGUAUACCUUCUCGUUGGUAUAUGUGGUUCAGUCUAUGAACUUGUUGCUUUCUGACUCUGUGGUACAUGGAGCUGAGACUGAACAAGAAUUAAAUUCUCUUCUGAUACCUGCAAAGGAAUUUCUCCAUGUUCUCUGCACUGGAACAGAAUAAAUUACCUUGUACUUGUGCAUUUCAAAGGUAGGUUUGGGAUUGGUGAAAUGGAUUUUAAUUGUUUAUUGUAAGAGAAAAUUGGCAUUAGAGAUGGCACGAUUGGUCAUCCCUGGAAGCAGUCUGGUUUGUUCUUUAGAAUCAUUGUUCUGUAGAAUAAUCUACUCACGGCCGGGCGCGGUGGCUCAAGCCUGUAAUCCCAGCACUUUGGGAGGCCGAGACGGGCGGAUCACGAAGUCAGGAGAUCGAGACCAUCCUGGCUAACACGGUGAAACCCCGUCUCUAUUAAAAAUACAAAAACUAGCCGGGCGAGGUGGCGGGCGCCUGUAGUCCCAGCUAUUCGGGAGGCUGAGGCAGGAGAAUGGCGUAAACCCGGGAGGCAGAGCUUGCAGUGAGCUGAGAUCUGGCCACUGCACUCCAGACCGGGCGACAGAGCGA
ensembl:lincRNA